rnacentral:tRNA from 1 species
UUCUUUAUAGCAAAAAAGUGCAUAAAAUUUAGAAUUUUAAUAUACUAACAUUACAGAAAUAAU